rnacentral:rRNA from 1 species
AACUUCUGAAUGUUGACCUCGGAUCAGGUAGGAAUACCCGCUGAACUUAAGCAUAUCAAUAAGCGGAGGAAAAGAAACCAACAGGGAUUGCCCUAGUAACGGCGAGUGAAGCGGCAACAGCUCAAAUUUGAAAUCUGGCUCUCGGGCCCGAGUUGUAAUUUGUAGAGGAUGCUUUUGAUGCGGUGCCUUCCGAGUUCCCUGGAACGGGACGCCAUAGAGGGUGAGAGCCCCGUCUGGUUGGAUGCCAAAUCUCUGUAAAGCUCCUUCGACGAGUCGAGUAGUUUGGGAAUGCUGCUCUAAAUGGGAGGUAUAUGUCUUCUAAAGCUAAAUACCGGCCAGAGACCGAUAGCGCACAAGUAGAGUGAUCGAAAGAUGAAAAGCACUUUGAAAAGAGAGUUAAAAAGUACGUGAAAUUGUUGAAAGGGAAGCGUUUAUGACCAGACUUGGGCUUGGAUAAUCAUCUGGGGUUCUCUCCAGUGCACUUUUCCAGUCCAGGCCAGCAUCAGUUUUCGCCGGGGGAUAAAGGCUUCGGGAAUGUGGCUCUCUCCGGGGAGUGUUAUAGCCCGUUGCGUAAUACCCUGGCGGGGACUGAGGUUCGCGCAUCUGCAAGGAUGCUGGCGUAAUGGUCAUCAACGACCCGUCUUGAAACACGGACC